rnacentral:rRNA from 1 species
UACAGAGGUGGCAAGCGUUGUUCGGAUUUACUGGGCGUAAAGGGUCCGUAGGCGGUUUGGAAAGUUGAAUGUGAAAUCCCACAGCUUAACUGUGGAACUGCAUUCAAAACUUCCAGACUAGAGUAUGAGAGGGGUUAAGGGAAUUCCCGGUGUAAGGGUGAAAUCUGCAGAGAUCGGGAGGAACACCAGUCGCGAAGGCGCUUAACUGGCUCAUUACUGACGCUCAGGGACGAAAGCUAGGGUAGCAAACGGG